GCAGAGGGCUGGAUGGCCGCGGGGCCUUAGGGUCGCGAGGAAAGUCCGGACUCCACAAGGCAAUGGUGCCGGGUAACGCCCGGCUGGGGCAACCCAAGGGAAAGCGCCACAGAGAACAGACCGCUUUGGUGUGUCGCUUGCGGCAGACCAGAGUAAGGGUGAAACGGUGGAGUAAGAGACCACCGCGGGACUGGUAACAGGACCGGCAAGGCAAGCCCCACCAGGAGCAAUGCCGAAUAGGAACCUCGCGCGGGAUUGAUCGGUUCGCCGAUAUCGCCGCAGGGACGCUUUGGCCCAGAGGUUCGGGUUGGCAGCUAGAGAGAAUCUGGUAACAGAUUCUCAAGAUGAAUGGUCAUCCAGAGGAGGGUUCCUCCUUGGACAAAAUCCGGCUUAUAGGCCCUCUGCGCAA
rnacentral:RNase_P_RNA from 1 species